GUUAGGGUUAGGGUUAGGGUUGGAGCUAGGGUUAGGGUUAGGGUUAGGGUUGGAGUUAGGGUUAGUGUUGGAGCUAGGGUUAGGGUUGGGCUUGGAGCUAGGAUUUUUCUGAGUGCACUGAACCAACUCCCGAGUCUCUAGGACAUUCCUAAAAAAAUUUGAUUUUUUCCCCAUAGGAAUGCAUGGGUUAGGGUUAUGGUUAGGGUUAGGGUUGGAGCUAGGGUUAGGGUUAGGGUUAGGGUUGGAGUUAGGGUUAGUGUUGGAGCUAGGGUUAGGGUUGGGCUUGGAGCUAGGAUUUUUCUGAGUGCACUGAACCAACUCCCGAGUCUCUAGGACAUUCCUAAAAAAAUUUGAUUUUUUCCCAUAGGAAUGCAUGGGUUAGGGUUAGGGUUAGGGUUGGAGCUAGGGUUAGGGUUAGGGUUAGGGUUGGAGUUAGGGUUAGUGUUGGAGCUAGGGUUAGGGUUGGGCUUGGAGCUAGGAUUUUUCUGAGUGCACUGAACCAACUCCCGAGUCUCUAGGACAUUCCAAAAAAAAAUUUGAUUUUUUUCCCAUAGGAAUGCAUGGGUUAGGGUUAUGGUUAGGGUUAGGGUUGGAGCUAGGGUUAGGGUUAGGGUUAGGGUUGGAGUUAGGGUUAGUGUUGGAGCUAGGGUUAGGGUUGGGCUUGGAGCUAGGAUUUUUCUGAGUGCAAUGAACCAACUCCCGAGUCUCUUGGACGUUCCUAAAAAAAUUUGAUUUUU